rnacentral:rRNA from 1 species
UACAGAGGGUGCAAGCGUUAAUCGGAAUUACUGGGCGUAAAGCGUGCGUAGACGGUUAUUUAAGUCAGGUGUGAAAGCCCCGGGCUCAACCUGGGAAUUGCAUUUGAGACUGAAUAGCUAGGGUGCGGAAGAGGGAAGCGGAAUUUCCGGUGUAGCGGUGAAAUGCAUAGAUAUCGGAAGGAACACCAGUGGCGAAAGCGGCUUCCUGGUCCAGCACCGACGUUCAGGCACGAAAGCGUGGGGAGCAAACAGG